rnacentral:rRNA from 1 species
UACGGAGGGUGCGAGCGUUAAUCGGAAUUACUGGGCGUAAAGCGUGCGUAGGUGGUUAUUUAAGUCAGAUGUGAAAGCCCUGGGCUCAACUUAGGAAUGGCAUUUGAUACUGGAUAGCUAGAGUUUGGGAGAGGAGAGUGGAAUUUCAGGUGUAGCGGUGAAAUGCGUAGAUAUCUGAAAGAACACCAGUGGCGAAGGCGACUCUCUGGACUAAAACUGACGCUGAGGCACGAAAGCAUGGGGAGCAAACAGG